GCUACACCAUAGACUGUGAGUUGCGAACGGGUGAGUAACGCGUAGGUAACCUGCCUAUUAGAGGGGGAUAACUAUUGGAAACGAUAGCUAAUACCGCAUAACAGUAUGUAACACAUGUUAGAUGCUUGAAAGAUGCAAUUGCAUCGCUAGUAGAUGGACCUGCGUUGUAUUAGCUAGUAGGUAGGGUAAAGGCCUACCUAGGCAACGAUACAUAGCCGACCUGAGAGGGUGAUCGGCCACACUGGGACUGAGACACGGCCCAGACUCCUACGGGAGGCAGCAGUAGGGAAUCUUCGGCAAUGGGGGGAACCCUGACCGAGCAACGCCGCGUGAGUGAAGAAGGUUUUCGGAUCGUAAAGCUCUGUUGUUAAGGAAGAACGAGUGUGAGAAUGGAAAGUUCAUACUGUGACGGUACUUAACCAGAAAGGGACGGCUAACUACGUGCCAGCAGCCGCGGUAAUACGUAGGUCCCGAGCGUUGUCCGGAUUUAUUGGGCGUAAAGCGAGCGCAGGCGGUUAGAAAAGUCUGAAGUGAAAGGCAGUGGCUCAACCAUUGUAGGCUUUGGAAACUGUUUAACUUGAGUGCAGAAGGGGAGAGUGGAAUUCCAUGUGUAGCGGUGAAAUGCGUAGAUAUAUGGAGGAACACCGGUGGCGAAAGCGGCUCUCUGGUCUGUAACUGACGCUGAGGCUCGAAAGCGUGGGGAGCGAACAGGAUUAGAUACCCUGGUAGUCCACGCCGUAAACGAUGAGUGCUAGGUGUUAGGUCCUUUCCGGGACUUAGUGCC
rnacentral:rRNA from 1 species